CAGUGGAUCAAAACUCGUUGAUCCCGACAAGAACCAAAGACGCCCCGAAACCACCUGCCGCGGAGAAGGGUAGACUUACUGACUCCGUGCGACGAGGGAGCGCACACCCCGUGGGCAGUCAUGAAGUAGCUCGGGACGUCUGGUGGGCAGCCAUGUUGGGGCACAAGCAGGGUGGCCAGCCUCCAGUUGGCCACCCACCCGGAAGCCGGAAACCGUCAUUCUGGUUCUCGUCGUGGGACAGGAGGUGCACACCAUCCCCGCUUUGCCCUCAGCGCACAGAACCUGCCGAGCGAGUGAGACCAGGAAGUGAGCUGAGCUGCUGGAGGAGACGGAGCACGAUCCCCAGACCGCUCCCCGGGCUCUGUGACUAGACAGCUCUCUCGAGUCCGGUCAGCUGCCAUUCCCGGUCACUCUUGACAUUAACCAUACUGGUAAUCGGCAUGAGGGAAACUCCACCCAACACGAUGGCCGUUACCAGAAAUCAAAUUGCGCUCCUCGGUAGAGGAUUUUUUUUUUAUCCCCGAUAUUAUUUCCCAUUAAUUUUGAAAAGCAUUUUUGCUGGAUUUUUCUUCCAUUAUUUUCCCAGCAUGGACCUAAUCGUGACCGAAAAGUACUUUAAAGAUCCCAUUAACUUUAUCUAAUGGAAAUCCCCACAGUAUCUCAAUUGCCGAAGGUCUUUUUUAUUCGAGAGUUAACCUUGGGGAGCCGUUAGGUGUUCUUUGGGCCACGCGUGCACAGAGGACCGGGGAAAUCUUUCAUUUCUGCCUCCUUGGAGAGCUUGGCACGCUUGGCCAAGUAUGGAACUACUCAUUCCUAAUUUGCUUCUCCCGGUGAAUAUUGAUUUGACUCCUGUUGUGUGGGACACAUGCACAUCAGCGCCCAGCCACGUGGGGCACCGAGGCUUUUGGUUAAUAUUCAGCUGUGAGCAGUCUGCCCGCGUAAUUUUCUGUUUUGCUUGUUCCACCUGUUGUUCCCCCAGAUGUCUUUGUUAAGAACGUUUUGUUACAGAAGAGUCUUUGCCGUGGCUGGUGCAGGAGGCUGGGCUAUGUCGCCCGUGCUCUGCUGGGUAUCUGUGAAGUCCCAUGGAGGGCAAGCUAGCAGAGGCAGAAAAGGGGGUGCUUGCUCACUGGGAACGGGGCGCAUUCCAGUGCCUCUCCACGGCAGACCUGUCUGGGUUUGUGCUUCUGAUGGAUUUGCCCUUUUGUGCUUUUGCACUGGUGCUCAGGGAUAGCUGACGUCCCUCUUUCUCCUUCUUGGCAUUCUCCAUAUUCACUAGGCAGCUGUCCACGCUGUACGUGGGAGAGAACCCUGUUCUGAGCAGGAUCUGUGGUGCCAAGAGCCUCCUAGUCCUUUGAUUCACCCGGACGUUUGUGAAUAUAAUUGACAGGACCGUUCUAUUUUAAGAAUCUAGGAACGUAUAAGGGUGCCUGGGUGGCUCAAUCACUUGAGCAUCCGACUCUUGAUUUCGGCUCAGGUCAUGAUCGAUCCCAGGGUUGAGGAACUGAGCCCGUAUCGGACUCUGAGUGGAGCCUACAUAAUAUUCUCUCUCUCUCUUUCUCUCUCUGCCCUUCUGCCCCCAAUUGUUCACACUUGUGGCGCUCACUCUCUCCCUCUCUCUAAAAUAAAAGAAGAAUCCAGGAAUAUAUAAAAAGAAGACAAGAUCCUUAAAGGCAAACAAGUUUGAUGGGGGGGGGGAGAAGGUGUCCCUUGGAUAUUUGUUUAUCCCCCUCUUUCCUGUUAAUAGCCAAGGCUCUCAUGAUGGUUGAGUUGGAGGGUGGUGCAAGGGCUUUACAAAAGGUGUCACAUGAGACACCCCCCCGGUGCUACUGGGAGGGCAUCCAGAAACCAGCAAGUGUUCUAAGAUUCCACAAGCCAGACAGGACUCCCACCUUGUUUCAUCACUAGGGACCCCAGGGAGCCUGUACUCGGGGCGGGGGGGGGGGGCGGGGGGACAGACAGGGAAUCCAAGUGGAGGCAGCCUACAGUGCUGUGCGCAUUUCUAAAAGCGGAGCAAACCAGAUGCUGACGGCACAGGCAGGAAACAGGCAGCAAAGUCAGAUGGGCGUCAGCAAUUGGAGAGGAAGCAGGAGACACAGCAGCACAUGGGAACCCCCUCUUCUGAUCGGGACCGGGGAAGUAGGACGAGUCUUAGAUGCCAGGCCAGGCCUGCCCGAGACAAAAAGUCUCCAGCUGGGGUAGAAUGACAGACCAUCCGACGUUGCCCAAGAUAGAGUGAUUUCUUAGGCUGCAGGGCCUUCCAUUUAAAAACCAGGAAAGUCCGCCAGAAAACUGGGAUGAGUUGGUCACUCUCGGUCACAGACACGGUUUAACAGUUCCCCAAGCAUGGACUUUAAUGUCAGGCACAGGUUUGGGAUGAGCACUGGGUGUUGUAUGGAAACCAAUUUGACAAUAAACUUCAUAUAUUUAAUGAAUGAAUGAAUGAAUGAAUGAAUAAAUAAAUAAAGUCAGGCACAGGGAUUUGAAUCCCAGCUGCACUAGCUCAGUGACCUUGGGCAGGCGACUUCACCUCCCCCUGCCUGUAGCACGGGACCAGCUAAGAUGCCUCCUUCCCGGGCUGCAGGAGGAUAAAGAUUAACAAUGCAAGCAAAGUGUGCAGCCCAGGGCCCAGAGCAAGUGAGCACCAGGUGGGCUUUUAUUCUCGUCGUUCUGAAAAAGCGAGAUACCGGGGCACAUAUCGACACCUACCAAGCUAGAAGGGAAGAACCAAGCCAAAUGUGGGGGUGCAGCAGGACAGCGGGAAACAGGGAAAUCAAAAGGCUGUGAAAGUCUGGAGCAGAUGACAAAGCUCCGGGCUCCCACUCGAUGGAGAAGGAAGACUCUUGAGUCUGGAAGGAGGAAAUGGACCCCCAUAAGCCGCCCGCAACCUGGAGGCAUCACCCACCCUCCUCUUUGACCUUCCGGGGGAGCACUUCCCCCAGAGCCUGAUGAUGGCUGCCUAGAAACUGACUGGCCAGCAGAGUCUUCUAUGGACAAAGAUAGUCACGCUGGAAAGAGAGAAGGAGCUGAAGGAAUAGCUUGGAGCGGGAGGUAUAAGGAUGUUAAACAAAAAAAUUUUUUUUAACAUUUACUCAUUUUUGAAAGACGGAGACAGAGUGCGAGUGGGGGAGGGGCAGAGAGACAGGGAGACACAGAAUCUGAAGCAGGCUGCAGGCUCCG